rnacentral:lncRNA from 1 species
GUAGUUUUGAGUGUUUCCUGAGAAAUAAAAUUCUUAUUUUAUUCCAAACACAGGCUGCUGCAGCACAUGAAUUAGAGAAGAUUCAAAAAAGGUGAUUAAGUUGUUGUUGUAUGUAUUCAUACAUUAAUGUUGAAGUAUAGUUGUUGUAGAAAAUGUUGCUACUUAAUAACUGAUAGUUGUGUACAUAGGUUAUGUAAAUUUUUGAAUGUGAAGUGUUUUUAAUUGAUGCUUUUUUCCUAUAGUGUUCAUAUUAAGGAUGAUAAAAUACGAUUGCUGGAAGAGCAGCUACAGUGUGAAAUUUCAAACAAAAUUGAAGAAUUUAAGAUUCUAAAUGACCAAAACAAAGCAUUACAACUAGAAGUUCAGAAACUACAGACUCUUCUUUCUGAACAGGUAAGAUUUUUCAUGAAUUAUAAGGUAGAAUUAUUCAAACAAAACAUAAU